rnacentral:lncRNA from 1 species
UCAUUUUCACCUCUUCCUAAAAAAAAACUCAAAAAAAAUGCUCUCAAAAGCCUGCCUGUCCUCAGAGCUCUGAUCGAACUCCGAUUGUCGGGCCUUGCCGUCCUACGCCGUCUCCGCCACCGUUCACGAUGGUCGGAGUUCCCAAAAGUGAGUUUUACGCUCCUUAAAGCUUCCCAAAGCCCAAUCCGACGGUAAUAUCCCCUUUCCUUUCUAUUUUAAAAGUGCUUUUGCCUAAAAAACGAUUCAAAUCUUUGAAAUAAAAAAAUGAAAAAUAGAAAAGGGAACGAAAAGUAAUCUCUGAAAAUCACCUUAGAUCUGAUUUUUAUUACUUGUAUAUGUGUAAUAUCCGUGUCUGUUUUACACUGUUUGUCUCUAGUAUAUGCGAUCUUUGAGCCCCCAAAAAAAAACCGUCCCCUACAUCCUUUCGAUUCAGGCUUUUUAUAGCCACUAAAAAAGAAAAAGAAAAAUAAUUACAAUCUUUGAUUUAUUUCCUGCCAUAUUUGUUUCGUUUUUUUCGUUUUCUUUCCAUUUUUGCAGGUGUUCGAGGAGAGUAGACCACCGGCGUUGAUUUGCGCGUCGAUUACGGCAUAACAUGGGGCCUAGAAUCACGGCACCUACGAAGGGUAGUUGAAAUGACGAGAUUUGAAGAGGCACAACUCUUGGGGUACUUGCGGCGCGAAGCUUCUGGAAACCCUAGGGUUUCCAGAUUCUAUUUAGGCGUUGGGCCUUGUUAAUUUUGGGCCGUUGAGUUGGGUCAAGGGUGUAAUGGGUAUAGGGUAGUGGUAGGCUUACGGGGUUGUAACCGGGUUCUGGGUUAACUAGGUAUUACCUUGUAAUUGGGCCUCGAGUAGACUUAAAUUUUUGGGCUCUGUAUAUGGACUAUUUAAAACAGUAAACAUUCAUUUAUUUUUUUAUUUUUUUGUUUAAGGCCCGGGCAAAUUUAGGUUAUUACAAUAAAUUUAAUUUUUUAUUAAAGAGAUUAUUAUAUACAAUAAUUCAAAACUCGAUUUAAUAUAACUAAAAAUAUUU